rnacentral:piRNA from 1 species
UCCAAUUCAGAACAACUCCUAUCCCAACGC